AGCGAACGCUGGCGGCAGGCCUAACACAUGCAAGUCGAGCGGCCGUAGCAAUACGGCAGCGGCAGACGGGAUAGUAACACGUGGGAACGCGCCCCUUCGGUUCGGAAUAACUCAGGGAAACUUGAGCUAAUACCGGAUACGCCCUUACGGGAAAGAUUAUUGCCGAAGGAACGGCCCGCGUCGGAUUAGCUAGUUGGUGAGGUAAUGGCUCACCAAGGCGACGAUCCGUAGCUGGUCNGAGAGGAUGACCAGCAUCACUGGGACUGAGACACGGCCCAGACUCCUACGGGAGGCAGCAGUGGGGAAUAUUGGACAAUGGGCGCAAGCCUGAUCCAGCCAUGCCGCGUGGAUGAUGAAGGCCCUAGGGUUGU
rnacentral:rRNA from 1 species